rnacentral:rRNA from 1 species
ACACUCCUGCGGGAGGCAGCAGUGGGGAAUUUUGGACAAUGGGCGAAAGCCUGAUCCAGCAAUGCCGCGUGAGUGAAGAAGGCCUUCGGGUUGUAAAGCUCUUUUGUCAGGGAAGAAACGGUGAGAGCUAAUAUCUUUUGCUAAUGACGGUACCUGAAGAAUAAGCACCGGCUAACUACGUGCCAGCAGCCGCGGUAAUACGUAGGGUGCAAGCGUUAAUCGGAAUUACUGGGCGUAAAGCGUGCGCAGGCGGUUUUGUAAGUCUGAUGUGAAAUCCCCGGGCUCAACCUGGGAAUUGCAUUGGAGACUGCAAGGCUAGAAUCUGGCAGAGGGGGGUAGAAUUCCACGUGUAGCAGUGAAAUGCGUAGAUAUGUGGAGGAACACCGAUGGCGAAGGCAGCCCCCUGGGUCAAGAUUGACGCUCAUGCACGAAAGCGUGGGGAGCAAACAGGAUUAGAAACCCCUGGUAGUCCC